rnacentral:rRNA from 1 species
CCUACGGGCGGCAGCAGUGAGGAAUCUUGGUCAAUGGCCGGAAGGCUGAACCAGCCAUGCCGCGUGAAGGUCAGUGCCCUAUGGGCGUUAAACUUCUUUUGUGCGGGAGCAAUAAUGGUCACGUGUGGCCAGACGAGAGUACCGUACGAAUAAGCAUCGGCUAACUCCGUGCCAGCAGCGGCGGUAAUACGGGGGAUGCAAGCGUUAUCCGGAUUUAUUGGGUGUAAAGGGUGCGUAGGCUGUGAGGUAAGUCAGCGGUGGAAUGCCCCCGCGCAACGGGGUGAAGUGCCAUUGAUACUGCCUGGCUGGAAUGCGGAUGCGGAGGGAGGAAUGUGUGGUGUAGCGGUGAAAUGCAUAGAUA